rnacentral:rRNA from 1 species
GUAGGUGGCAAGCGUUGUCCGGAAUUAUUGGGCGUAAAGCGCGCGCAGGCGGUUCUUUAAGUCUGAUGUGAAAGCCCACGGCUCAACCGUGGAGGGUCAUUGGAAACUGGAGAACUUGAGUACAGAAGAGGAAAGCGGAAUUCCACGUGUAGCGGUGAAAUGCGUAGAGAUGUGGAGGAACACCAGUGGCGAAGGCGGCUUUCUGGUCUGUAACUGACGCUGAGGCGCGAAAGCGUGGGAGCAACAGGAUUAGAUACCCUGGUAGUCCACGCCGUAAACGAUGAGUGCUAAGUGUUAGGGGGGUUUCCGCCCCCCUUAGUGCUGCAGCUAACGCAUUAAGCACUCCGCCUGGGAGUACGGCCGCAAGGCUG